rnacentral:tRNA from 1 species
GGAUUGUGGCUCAGUGGUAGAGUGCUCACCUAGCACAUGUGAGGCCCUGGGUUCGAUCCUUAGCACCA